UUUUUACUACUGAAAAGGAACUGCAAUGGAGAGUACGGUAUCAGUUAUUUUCCUCGUAUCGUUUUCCAUACUGCUGUGUGAAAGUUACCAUCAUGGAGUGGAGACGGCUACUGUUGUGCAUACAUCGGAAAGAGCUUUUCCAGAAAAGACAGUGGGUGUUAAUACUGACUUGGCAGGACUAAUACAGAAGUUGCACCUUCAAGAACUUUUUAAUCGUUACGGAGAAAACAACUCUCUGUCAAUUGAUGGGUUUAGAAAGCUGCUACAGAACAUAGGUAUAGAUAAAAUGAAAAGGAUUAAAAUGAGCCACGAUCACGAUCAUGACCACGAUCAUGAUCAUGACCACAGUCACGACCAUCAUGACCAUCACGACCAUGACCAUGAUCAUCACUCUCAUCAUAAUCAUGUUUCAUUGAGUAAAAGCUCUGAGAAGACUGCGUGUCCAAACCACGAAUCUGAUGCUGGCAAAGACCACAGGAGCGGCCACGGGAAGGAGCCUCACAAGGCCGAGAGCGUGGAGCGGCAGCAGAACUUCGUGCGGGGCAAGAGCGCGGCUCAGGAGAGCACGGCGCCCGUCAUCGCCGCUCCCGCUCCCGUGGGCGGCCGCGCCGAGCCCCAGAGCGCGCAGCCCGGGGACGGCAGGACGGUUCUCCGGGUGGCCGCCGGCCCCGGGGCCCUCGAUGCCACCGGGGGCCGCAAUGCCACCGGGCUGGGUGCCGCAAAGGCCAACGAAUCUCAUGCCUCUCCGAAGGAACUGGAGAGAGGGAGCAACCUCUAUUCUAAACUGAAGAAACAAAGCACUCAAGAGUGCUCCAAUGCAUCCAGACUGAUGCAGUCGCAUGGAAUAGGCACUCAAGUAUUGUUGACUGCUACAGAAUUUAGUUAUCUUUGUCCAGCUCUUAUUAAUCAGAUCGAUGGCGAGUACUGCAUAGUCCAUGCUACUAGUGAAAAAGCUGAAACUCCUCCAAAAAGUUACUCCCUGCAAAUAGCUUGGAUUGGUGGCUUUAUAUCCAUCUCUGUCAUCAGCUUUCUUUCCUUGCUGGGUGUUAUAUUGGUACCACUGAUGAAUCGAGUAUUUUUCAAAUUUCUUCUGAGUUUUCUUGUGGCAUUGGCUGUGGGGACCUUGAGUGGAGAUGCCUUCUUACACCUCCUUCCACAUUCUCAUGGAAACCAUCAUCAUCACCACGAAAAGACUGUGCUUGAUCAAAAAGGCUCUAUGUACAAGCAUCUUGUUUUUCAAAGUACAGAGGAGAGUGCUUACCUGGAUUCUACAUGGAAAGGACUUACAGCACUUGGAGGCUUGUACUUCAUGUUUCUAGUGGAGCAUUUGAUCACUUUAAUAAAGCAGUUUAAAGACAAGAAGAAAAAGAAAAGAAAUGAAGAUGAUGGAGAAAGUAAGAAGUUUUCAGCAAAUGAAGAAAAGUUGGAUACGGAUGAUCGGCCUGAGGGCUAUCUAGGAGUAGACUCUCAAGAUCCAUCAACCUUCAUUUCUCAGCAGCCAACUGUACAAGAGGAAGAAGAAGUGAUGAUUGCUCAUUCUCAUCAAGAGGAGGCUGACAAUGAAUAUGUGUCCAGGGGCUGUAGAAACAAAUGCCACUCUCACUUGCACGAUACUCUAGGACAGACAGAUCAUCUAAGUCACCAUCACCAUGACUACCAUCACAUCCUGCACCACCAUCACCAUCAGAAUCAUCAUCCCCACAGUCACAGUCAGCGCUACUCGCGCGAAGAGCUGAAGGACGCGGGGAUAGCAACUCUGGCGUGGAUGGUGAUCAUGGGAGAUGGACUACACAAUUUUAGUGAUGGACUGGCGAUUGGAGCAGCCUUUACUGAAGGGUUUUCUAGUGGUUUAAGCACUUCUGUGGCUGUAUUUUGCCAUGAAUUACCUCAUGAGCUAGGAGAUUUUGCUGUCCUACUAAAAGCUGGUAUGACUGUCAAGCAAGCUGUGCUUUAUAACGCUCUGUCAGCAAUGCUGGCUUAUCUUGGUAUGGCAACUGGGAUCCUUAUUGGUCAUUAUGCAGACAAUGUUUCAAUGUGGAUAUUUGCACUUACUGCUGGCUUGUUCAUGUAUGUGGCUCUUGUGGAUAUGGUACCUGAAAUGCUCCACAAUGAUGCCAGUGACCAUGGAUGCAGCCGGUGGGGAUACUUCCUGUUACAGAAUGCUGGGAUUCUUCUGGGUUUUGGGAUAAUGCUGCUUAUCUCAGUAUUUGAACACAAGAUUGUAUUCAGCAUAAACUUGUAAUCCUGGUUGCCAGGAGUACACCUUGGUGUUAAAUUAUAAGUGGUAGGGGUAGUUUUUUUUCUACAAAUUUCCUUAUUGGAAAGGUACGUUUAAGGUAGACUAGAUUUUUUUACUGGUGUGCUUUGACUUUGUGUACUUCCCUCCCUUCUUGCCUGAUAGAAAGAAACACUGUAAAGUUUGGGGUUUGUAAAGUUUGUUGGGGAUUUAUUUGUUUGUUUGUUUUUAAUUGUGGUUUUUUACUUGGGAUUUAGCAUUGCUUGUGGUACUGUGGAAAGUGGUACUUAGUAAAACAUGGCCAAAUCUAUAUUAUUUGCAAUGUUUGGGGUGGGUUAGUUUGUUUUUUUUACUGAAUUUAUUUACUGUAUGUAAUUAUUUGUAAUGUUUUUUACUUCAGUGUUUUUUUUGGUUUAAAGAGGUAAAAUAAAAGUGGUUUUUAUUUUAGCAUAAUUAAAAUCAGUGGAUACAAAGCACAGUGAGCAAAGUAAGACAACCAUUACAAGACAUGUAAUGGUUAGCAUGUGUUUAUUGGUAAAAACUCAUCUCUUCUGCAUCCACCUGGUUUAUAUGGAAAGGCAGAGAAGUCCAUUCCAUCCUUAUGGUGCUGGUUCUCUCAGUAGCUUGUGGAUUCCUGUGUCUUACUCCAGUUGGUUUCUACUCCAAACAAAUUAAUGUAAAACCACGUUCUAAGUGUUUACAUCAAAUGUUGAACUCGUUUCAUCCCUUCUGAUAUGAGUUGCUCUUCACUGAUUUCUCAAAUCAGCAACUAAAGUCCAGCUCUUAAAUUGCCAAAGCUUUAAGAUAUGUGAAUUCCAUCAAAAAGACGUUAAAAGCAGUGCUGUACUUACUGUCCAGCACUUGACACUGCCUGAAGUGACAAAGGUGUAUUAAAGCCUGUUUGAUAUCAGGAGGGAGGAGUGCUACAGGCUUAGAUAAACAGUCAUUUCCUACAACAGCUUCCUGAAGUAAAGUGUUGAUUUACUUUAGGAAAAUGAGCUGUGUGGGAGAGCUGCCUCCUUCUAGUUCAGUGUACAGAACCUGUGCUAUAUUUUUUGCAAGAACUAAAGCUGAGAAAUCCAAAAUUAAAAAAAAAUCUUCGGUAGUGUAUCUAGCAGUGUGUUAAGGAUAAUAAGUGUAUACUGAAAUAUGUCAUGUAAGCCUACAGACUUAAUAUGUUUAACCACCCUGAAUGUCACUGAAGGAAGAAGGUUGAAAAAAACAAUAGCAAAAUGAAUUCUGCAUUUGCAGGGAAGGUGAACAUGUUAAAGUUGUUUAAUGAUGAAUAAAUAAUGGAAUUAUGCUAGCUUACUAGCUAGCUUUAAAAAUCCCAGAAAUAAAAUAAUUAGAACUUAUUUCUCAUCCACUGCUUCAAAUCAUCAGCUGAAUAAAAAGCUUGAACAACAAGAGAAAUGUUUGAUAAUAUUGUGUAUGACAGGUUAAAACAGUUUGUUGGCCUGUCAUACAAUGGAAGCCAGGAACCGUUCUAUCACCUCAGAAAAUGGAUGUUUUCAAUUAAUUGAGAGGUUUGAGGGUUUUUUAGGAGUUGAGAAAUGGGUACCACAGGAGUUUUUGCAGCCACUGGACUAUUAGCUUCUCCUCCUUCAGCCUUUCCUCAGGUUAGCAAGAUUGAUAUUUACUUUUCUGCUCACACUGCUGAAAUCCUCUUCUGCGCCUCCUUUGAAGCCAGGAGUUACAAAGGUGUACUUCCUUCAGCUCUCCUAAUGCAUCCCUGUGUCCUAGCAGGCUUUUUAGGGCUUGGGCACAGUGUUUUACCCAUGAUGUGGGAAAAUUCCAUAAAUGCAGUGCACUUCAGCCCAUGGGGCUUCCACCUUCUGCACCGCAGUCCUGCCUGCUACAGAAAUUGGGCAUCUCUGUAGUCCUGGGGGAUUUCAGACUUGGAUGAGCUCAAUUUGCCUUUAAUUUUUCACUGCUGGUUUCUGUUAGCCUACAGCCAUAAUAGCUGCCAGUUCAGGUGGACUUCUCUUGUCUGGAUAUGACACAGGAAGUGGGCAGGUAGCCUACUGUUGCUCAAAAGAUUUUCAGAUCAAUCACUAAAUGAUGGAGAUAAAUCUACAAAUUUCAGUGUUUCCAGUGGGUUCUUGGCUGGCUUUCAGUGUACUCAACUGACAUUAAAAUAUCCACCUAUCAAAACACAUUGCUAAUUUAAGAAUAAGAGAAAUGAAUUGCCUUUCAUGCAGUGGGCAUGUGGGCAGAAAUGGUUCUGUCCUGUACACAAGCAUAUUCCACCCAUUCAGUGCUCUUCAGUCAUUGAUGGAGAAAUGUCCAUGUCAGGCAGCUGUCCAAACUGAUAAAUGAGCAGGAUACAGACUAAAACUUGCUGUAGUUUUAUGUCAGCAGGAUGACAAAAGGUUGGUUGUUCUUUUUGUUUUGAGCUGGUUUGUUUUAUUUUUGUUUGUCAGCCUUAUGAAGUAGAACCUGCAUCUGUUGCAAUGUACUCCUGUUGGAAAUACUCAUGGUUUGGCAAACUGGUGGGACAGAGGCUCUAAGUAGCCCUUUAUUUUUAUGUGUAUAUUUUUCUGCUGGAGUUAUUAAUGUGCCUGGCUACUCUGAAAAAUAAAUGGAAGUGUCUGCUUUGUGUAUCCAUCUGUGGCUCAAUAAUGGUACAUACCUUAAUUUUUAUGAUGUUACAGCUGCCUUUAGUGCCUGUGCUAGAUGCAGGUAAACAGAAUGGGCAAGCAGUGCUGGAAUCAAUUUUGGUUUUUUCUGUAACAUGUUCUUCUAAUGGUUUUGGCCUGUAUUCGCACAGACGUGUGAUGUUACUGUGGGCAGCAGGAGUCAGAGCAGAGGUGUGGAGGUUCUCAAAGCUCUCCGCUGCCUGCCUGUGGGGAUCAGGUGCUGGUACGGUUUCUCUGCAUCCUUUGUGCCUAAUUGUGAUGCCACGUGUGGUGAGAAUGCAGUGUUUUAUGUUGAUAGAAAACACAGCCCAGGCUGAAACGGAAUUCAGAGGCUGAAGUGGAAUUCAGAGGCUGAAGGGGAAUUCACAGAGGCUCUCCUGCUGCCUGAACUGAGACACCAGUGCAGUUAACAUCUCUGUAGAAAAACUGAGUCCUUCUGUUUUCCACGAGCAGGAAGCAAAAAAAUGUUUUAAUGGAUUGUUAGAUUUUUGUGGGUUUUUUUGUUUGUUUGUUUUUGUUUUGUUUUGUUUUGAAUUUAAAGCACGUUUAUACAUGGUCGCUGUUGCUGUAUUGCUGUUUGCUAGAGAAAAUAAACCACUGAACCAAACC